GAUGAACGCUGACAGAAUGCUUAACACAUGCAAGUCGAUUCGAUUUACCUUCGGGUAUUGAGGAUGGCGGACGGGUGAGUAACGCGUAAGGAACUUGCCUCUUGGUCUGGGACAGCUGUUGGAAACGACAGCUAAUACCGGAUAUUAUGAGAUUCUCGCAUGGGAAACUUAUGAAAGCUAUAUGCGCCAAGAGAGAGCCUUGCGUUCCAUUAGCUAGUUGGUGGGGUAACGGCCCACCAAGGCGACGAUGGAUAGCCGGCCUGAGAGGGUGAACGGCCACAAGGGGACUGAGACACGGCCCUUACUCCUACGGGAGGCAGCAGUGGGGAAUAUUGGACAAUGGGCCACAAGCCUGAUCCAGCAAUUCUGUGUGCACGAUGAAGGUCUUCGGAUUGUAAAGUGCUUUCAGUUGGGAAGAAGAAAGUGACGGUACCAACAGAAGAAGCGACGGCUAAAUACGUGCCAGCAGCCGCGGUAAUACGUAUGUCGCAAGCGUUAUCCGGAUUUAUUGGGCGUAAAGCGCGUCUAGGCGGAAAAAUAAGUCUGAUGUUAAAAUGCGGGGCUCAACUCCGUAUUGCGUUGGAAACUGUUUUUCUAGAGUACUGGAGAGGUGGNNGGAACUACAAGUGUAGAGGUGAAAUUCGUAGAUAUUUGUAGNAAUGCCGAUGGAGAAGUCAGCUCACUGGACAGAUACUGACGCUAAAGCGCGAAAGCGUGGGGAGCAAACAGGAUUAGAUACCCUGGUAGUCCACGNC
rnacentral:rRNA from 1 species